ensembl:lncRNA
CAGCAGUGUUGCGUGAGUGUUUUUACUGCACAUCUUUGAUAUGAGUGCAGCGGUGUAUUAAAUUAUUUGGUGUAUGUUACAGAUAUAGCGCUCGGGGCUGUGACUCCUCCAUGUGUUACUGAUGUGAAUGUCUGCACGCUAUUCCGCACUCAUUUACUGAGCUCACGUAUCUGAGCUCACGUGUUCAAUUACAGCUGAACAUCUGCCUGGUGUCAAACUGAGUUCUACAUCAGCAGCUAACAAUAAAGUGAAAGAUUUAACAGGAAGUCAGAAAUUGUCUACAAGCUCCUCCUCCAGCCAUGUGUAGGAGGUGUGUGUUGGAGGGUGGAGGUGUGUGUUGGAGGGUGGAGGUGUGUGUUGGAGGGUGGAGGUGUGUGUUGGAGGGUGGAGGUGUGUGUUGGAGGGUGGAGGUGUGUGUUGGAGGGUGUAGGUGUGUGUUUGUGGGUGGAGGUGUGUGUUGGAGGGUGGAAGUGUGUGUUGGAGGGUGUAGGUGUGUGUUGGAGGGUGGAGGUGUGUGUUGGAGGGUGUAGGUGUGUGUUGGAGGGUGGAGGUGUGUGUUG